CCCUUCGGGGACAGUGGUGACAGGUGGUGCAUGGUUGUCGUCAGCUCGUGUCGUGAGAUGUUGGGUUAAGUCCCGCAACGAGCGCAACCCUUGCCUUUAGUUGCCAGCAUUAAGUUGGGCACUCUAGAGGGACUGCCGAGGAUAACUCGGAGGAAGGUGGGGAUGACGUCAAAUCAUCAUGCCCCUUAUGCUUAGGGCUACACACGUGCUACAAUGGGUGGUACAGAGGGUUGCCAAGCCGUGAGGUGGAGCUAAUCCCUUAAAGCCAUUCUCAGUUCGGAUUGUAGGCUGAAACUCGCCUACAUGAAGCUGGAGUUACUAGUAAUCGCAGAUCAGAAUGCUGCGGUGAAUGCGUUCCCGGGUCUUGUACACACCGCCCGUCACACCAUGGGAGUUGGGGGCGCCCGAAGCCGGUUAGCUAACCUUUUAGGAAGCGGCCGUCGAAGGUGAAACCAAUGACUGGGGUGAAGUCGUAACAAGGUAGCCGUAUCGGAAGGUGCGGCUGGAUCACCUCCUUUCUAA
rnacentral:rRNA from 1 species